rnacentral:rRNA from 1 species
UACGUAGGGUGCAAGCGUUAAUCGGAAUUACUGGGCGUAAAGCGCGCGCAGGCGGUUUUGCAAGACAGAUGUGAAAUCCCCGGGCUCAACCUGGGAACUGCAUUUGUGACUGCAUGGCUAGAGUACGGUAGAGGGGGAUGGAAUUCCGCGUGUAGCAGUGAAAUGCGUAGAUAUGCGGAGGAACACCGAUGGCGAAGGCAAUCCCCUGGACCUGUACUGACGCUCAUGCACGAAAGCGUGGGGAGCAAACAGG